rnacentral:lncRNA from 13 species
GUACCUUUGACUAGUUUGUCUCUUAAAUAAACAUGACAGGAAUGCACCUGAUAUACGCUAGCUGUCCCAAGGCUACCUGAGCUAGAUGGUCAUGUCUAGAUACAGCUUUAUUUGGGGGGGGGUUAGCUAACACUAACCCUUUUCUCCUAACCUGUUACGUUAAUUCUCCUAACCUGCUUCGUUAAUUCUCAUAACCUGCUUCGUUAAUUCUCAUAACCUGCUUUGUUAAUUCUCAUAACCUGCUACGUUAAUUCUCAUAACCUGCUACUUUACUUCUUCUAACCUGCUACGUUAAUUAUUCUAACCUGCUAUGUUAAUUCUCUUAAACUGCUACGUUAAUUCUCCUAACCUGUUACGUUAAUUCUCCUAACCUGCUUCGUUAAUUCUCAUAACCUGCUUCGUUAAUUCUCAUAACCUGCUAUGUUAAUUCUCUUAAACUGCUACGUUAAUUCUCAUAACCUGAUUUGUUAAUUCUUCUAACCUGCUACGUUAAUUAUCUUAAACUGCUACGUUAAUUCUCAUAACCUGAUUUGUUAAUUCUUCUAACCUGCUACGUUAAUUCUCUUAAACUGCUACGUUAAUUCUCAUAACCUGAUUUGUUAAUUCUUCUAACCUGCUACGUUAAUUAUCUUAAACUGCUACAUUAAUUACCCUAACCUGCUACUUUACUUCUUCUAACCUGCUACGUUAAUUAUCCUAACCUGCUAUGUUAAUUCUCUUAAACUGCUACGUUAAUUCUCAUAACCUGAUUUGUUAAUUCUUCUAACCUGCUACGUUAAUUAUCUUAAACUGCUACGUUAAUUCUCAUAACCUGAUUUGUUAAUUCUCCUAACCUGCUACGUUAGUUCUCCUAACCUGCUUUGUUAAUUCUCCUAACCUGCUACGUUAAUUCUCCUAACCUGCUUUGUUAAUUCUCCUAACCUGCUACGUUAAUUCUCCUAACCUGCUUUGUUAAUUAUCCUAACCUGCUACGUUAAUUCUCCUAACCUGCUUUGUUAAUUCUCCUAACCUGCUACGUUAAUUCUCCUAACCUGCUACGUUAAUUCUCCUAACCUGCUACGUUAAUUCUCCUAACCUGCUACGUUAAUUCUCAUAACCUGCUACUUUACGUCUUCUAACCUGCUACGUUAAUUAUCCUAACCUGCUAUGUUAAUUCUCUUAAACUGCUAUGUUAAUUCUCCUAACCUGAAACGUUAAUUAUUCUAACCUGCAAUGUUAAUUCUCUUAAACUGCUACGUUAAUUCUCCUAACCUGCAACGUUAAUUCUUCUAACCUGCUACGUUAAUUCUCUUAACCUGCUACAUGAAUUCUCAUAACCUGCUACUUUACUUCUUCUAACCUGCUACGUUAUUUAUCCUAACCUGCUAUGUUAAUUCUCUUAACCUGCUAUGUUAAUUCUCCUAACCUGCUAUGUUAAUUCUCCUAACCUGCAAUGUUAAUUCUCUUAAACUGCUACGUUAAUUCUCCUAACCUGCAACGUUAAUUCUCCUAACCUGCAACGUUAAUUCUUCUAACCUGCUACGUUAUUUAUCCUAACCUGCUAUGUUAAUUCUCUUAACCUGCUAUGUUAAUUCUCCUAACCUGCUAUGUUAAUUAUCCUAACCUGCAAUGUUAAUUCUCUUAAACUGCUACGUUAAUUCUCCUAACCUGCAACGUUAAUUCUUCUAACCUGCUACGUUAAUUCUCUUAACCUGCUAUGUUAAUUCUUCUAACCUGCUACGUUAAUUCUCUUAACCUGCAACGUUAAUUCUUCUAACCUGCUACGUUAAUUCUCUUAACCUGCAACGUUAAUU